GGUACCAAUUUAGAGAGUUGUCUACUAAACAGUUGAAAGACAUUUUCUUCAUUUUGAUUUGUCAGCUGUUUAGUGGAUAGCUCCCUAAUUUUGUAUCCUUAUGUGGGAUUGCCAUAUUUAAAGAUACUAAAUAAGGGAACUAUCUGCUAAACAGGUACCUAAUUUGGUAUACUAAAUUAUUUCAAUAAUACAUAAGGGUAUCAAUUUAGGGAUUUAUCUACUAAGCAGCUAAAAGAUCACAACUAUAGAAAGGACUUUUCUUAAUUUCGAUCUUUCAGCUGCUUAGUAGAUAGCUCCCUAAUUUGGCAUC